GUCUCCAAGGUGAACAACCUCUAGUCAAUAGAACAAUGUAGGUAAGGGAAGUCGACAAAAUGAAUCUGUAACUUUGGGAAAAGGAUUGGCUCUGAGGGUUGGGCCUAGGGGUCUGCAUCCUCAACCCAUGGGCUGUCGGCAAUAUUAUUAGCCCUCGACCAAGUUUUGGAGAACCUUGGUCAUGUUUGACCAUUUUUGGGACUUCAACAGGUUGGUCGAAGACGAAGCACCCAGGUGAAGCGGAGAUCGCAGGAUCUCGCCCCCUUUUUGCAGGAUUUUUGGGUUUAGGGUUUAUGUAACAGGUAUGGGAUGUUGGCCCAUGGGUUUACCCAUGUUUAGGCCCCUUUAGUAAUGUAUAAAUAGAUAGCAAGGUGAUGUAAGUAAGGUGAUAUGCUAAGUGCAAGAGUACUAGACCUAGUAGAAUCAACUUAGUGCGAAUCUAGAGGCUUUGUGCAUACUAUGUGUUGAGAACUUGCAGAGCUAAGUUAAAGU
rnacentral:ncRNA from 1 species